AAAACCAUUUCAUCUGCAAAUAAAGAUACUUUGACUUCUUCCCUUCCUAUUUAUAUCCCCUGGAUCUCCUUCAGUUUUCUUAUCGCUGUAGCUAAGACUUCAAGAACUAUCUUGAGUAUGUAUGGAGAUAGUAGAUAUCCUUGUGUUGUUCCUGAUUUUAGUAGACAUGCUCUGAAUUUCUGUUUAGGAUGAUGUCAGAUGUGCGCUAGCUGUAAAGUGCCUUUAUUAUGUUGAGGUUGUACCACACUCAAUAUGGAUGAGACAGUGACCCCGACAACUCAUAAUUCAGUUUUUUGUCUUAUAUUGGGAUAUGCACUUCCAAUUAAGUUCAGUGAUCAUCAUGGAAGAAAAGGACAGAAAGAUUGUAAGAGUCAGAGGAGUGUAUUAAUGCAGCAAAAUGGUGUUUUCUGGAAAUGACAAGGGAGCUUCACACAUCAACUCAUGUGGUGAUAUCUUGUUUAUGAACUAAUAAUACUUGUCUGAAGAUUACAAUAUAAAGGUAGUCACAGCUACAGAAGCUUGGCAAUGAUGGCACACACCUCUAAUCCCAGGACUCAUGAGACAGAGGCAGAUAGAUCUCUGUGAGUUUAAGGCAACUCAGGGCAACAUAAGAGUGAAUCAGUCUAAAAGAGAAACAGAGCUCACACCUUUAAUCCCAGCACUGGAGAGGUAUAUAAGACAGGAGCAGGGUUUCAUAUUCUGGCACUUAGUCUACAGCCAUGUUGAGGAUAGAAUCUCUCCAGCCUUGGGAGAGGUCAGAACUCUCUGGUGGCUUGGGUGCUUUGCUUUUCUGAUCCUCAGCUUGAACCCUACUAUCUAUCUCUGGAUUUGUGUUAUUCAUGCUCACAACAGCUGUGACGACAAUCAGAGCAGCAACACAAGAUCAAGCCAGACAAAUUCCAACAUGGAUUGAGGAGGGCGUCACAAAGUCCCAUCCCUAGCCAAGGAGCUAUUAGCAAUAUAUGGACACUGGAGGGGGAGUCAGCAUUCUUCAGGGAUGGGACCCAUGGGAGGCUAUGCAGCCUCCAGUAGAUUUCCUCCCAUCCCUGCAAAUACUGGCAACACUAAGUGGGCAUAGUGGGUUAAAAAAAUAAAAAGAACAUACAAGGUUGUUGAGGAAACUGUAUCAUCAGCCUUUGACAUUAUUUAACUAUUUCUUUCUCUCUGAAACCUUCGUUUAACUGGCUUUCUUGGGUACCAAAUCACUGGUUGCUUUGUCUCGGACUCUAUUCACUUUCUCCUGCCUGUCUCUUGCCUCUAUGUGGCAGUACACUUCUGGGAUCAUUUUUCAGUCUUUGUUUAUGCGCUCUUACAAAUUGAUGAUUUCACAUCUCUCAAAGCCUUCACUAUUAGCUGAACCUUCAUGUCUUGCAAAUUUAUAUCCUUAGUUUCAGCUUCAUUUCUGAAUUUUAGGGUACCCCUAGAUUCCAAAUAUUCAGAAGCAAGAAAAGAAAUUAUGAGUUAUCUGCAUGAUGAAACUAGUUAUCCCUGUGUCUGCAUAGGGGCCACAACUGGAGAUAAGAUUUUAUAUUGCAGCUUUGUCUGAUCUUGAAAUCACGAUUUCAAUGCUGAGAUUAUAGGACUGCACAUUCCUAUCUGUAAUGCCUGACUGUAAUGCCACUUUUUCUGGAUAGUAUAUGUGAUAUGAUAAUAAUUGGAAUGUACUUAGGUCUAGUCAGUAGUUGUUUUUUUAUUCAAAUAGAUACAUUUGUUUUUCUUUGUUACUGUAUUUUAUUUUAGAACAACUGUCUCAAGAAAUACUCUGCUUGUUUGACCUUUUUCUCAACAAGAAUUUGUUAAUUACUCAUUGUUAACUGUCAUGACUUACUUGAGAUACUGACAUAUUUCUGGUCCUCUGUUUGCCAUGUGGGUGACUCCAAUACUAAUGUGGUUAAGUGAAUAGUUUACAUGGUCACAUGAGGAUCUAAUAAUCAGGAGAACUGUGUCUCAUAUACACUAAAGAAAGAACUAAGACUUUAGUUCAUUUCAUUUAGUCAUUUCAAGGCUAACUGAUGGAGUAACAAGCCCCUGGAGAGUCUUAAUGUUUUCCAUCCCAAUAGAGAACCACCAUUGUCUAAAUAUAUAGACCUAAAAUUCUGUGUUAUCUCAGUAGAUCUUCUUUUUCCAAUCUUCCCAUUACAACAAUUAUGUAAUUCUUGUCUGCUUCUACAUUUGAGACACAUAUCCUGCAUAGGAGAACAUCUCUUAUUCCCCAUAGCUUCUGCUCUAGCCCAAGUCAUUGUCUUUCCUUUCUAAAGCAACUGUAAUAAUUCCUAAAGUCACACUUCAUAGAUCAUGCCUAUGAACCAUCUGGCAAUAGUGAGCACAGAUUUUGAUUUAGUCAGGUUGGUAUUUGGCCCUAGAGUCUCCAUUUCUAAUGAGUGAGGUUAGGGCUGCUGGUUUGCAGAUCUCACUAAUCAAUGACUAAUCAAGUCAAAAAGAUCAGAUACUAAUUGGGCUAUGAAGAACCCCAAACAAGAUAAAAGAAAAAAGAUUUUAGUUUAUUGUUUGUACAAAGUGAUCUUCAACAGCAGCGUAUCAUAUACACCCCUGAAUUAAUCCUCUUCCAACCUUGCAUCUCUCUGAUUUCCCUUUAUACCUUGUUAAAAACCCUGGUGGUUAUAUGACCUUAUAUGGCACAGCAUUAGAAUAACUCUAUGGGUCUGUUUUUUUUACCACAUGUCCAACUCAAUUGGUAUGGUUGAUAUACAGUGGCUUACUUUGCCCUUAAAGUCUUAGUUCUUUCUUUAGUGUAUAUGAGACACAGUUCUGAUUAUUCUGAACAAAA
ensembl:lncRNA